GGUUGUGACUCAAGGGGUAGGGCACUUGCCUGGCAUGCAUGGGGUGCUGGGUUCGAUCCUCAGCAACAACA
rnacentral:tRNA from 1 species